GGUGGUAAUGACGGAGAGGUCCCACCUGUUCCCAUCCCGAACACAGCAGUUAAGCUCUCCAGUGCCGAAAGUACUUGGCUGGACACGGCCCGGUAGGAUAGGUCGCUGCCG
rnacentral:rRNA from 1 species